UACGAGAGGCCCAAACGUUAUUCGGAUUUACUGGGCUUAAAGAGUUCGUAGGCGGUUUGGUAAGUGAGGUGUGAAAGCCCUCGGCUCAACCGAGGAAUUGCGCUUCAAACUGCCGGGCUCGAGGGAGAUAGAGGUGAGCGGAACUGAUGGUGGAGCGGUGAAAUGCGUUGAUAUCAUCAGGAACACCAGAGGCGAAGGCGGCUCACUGGGUCUCUUCUGACGCUGAGGAACGAAAGCUAGGGGAGCAAACAGG
rnacentral:rRNA from 1 species